GUCCCAUAGUAUAAUGGAAGUAUGUCGGGCUUUGGACCCGGCGGCGCUGGGUUCGAAUCCCGCUGGGACUA
rnacentral:tRNA from 1 species